CAAUAUAAUUUAUAAAAAAUAAAUUUACUUUAAUCAACAAAUUUGUGGUUAGUAAUUUGUGCGUUUUACAAUGAUUUUUUUACGUCGCCAGGGUGAUACAGUUGUAUCUGAGUUUCAAAUUGAUAAAGACUUCUUAUGUAUCUGGAAAAGUGGAAAGGGGCGAGGUAGAUUAUGGAUCCAGGUACACUACACAGCUUGACGGGCCCUAUAAUAUGAUAACAACAAUCUUCCCGAACUCAACGUCAGAAUCAAAUAAUUAGGAAACUUUUUAGCUGCGGAUCCAGAUAAAUUCUUAUUAUUAGUUGUUGAAGAAACACUGACUCAAGUCAAUGGAGUACUCAAGUUUUAGUGGUCAUUACUCUGAUACUAAAGGAUCAAAGUUUGUAUCAGCUUGAAGGUAUUCAUUGAUGAUGAGUUGAUGCAAAAUCCUGAUUUGGAGGACAGCUCAGAGGACAGUGAGAGUCAUUUGUCUUCCACCCAAGAGGAUAUCUUUAUGAAAUUGGAUUAUUCGGACAUUAAUUAAAUGUUCUGGAUUUUAUUUUUUCAAUACAUGUUUGAAAAGUUUUAUUUUUUGGACAAAAAAUGGCAAUGGAAAUCUCAUUCAAAAUUUAAGAUUAAAAUGAAUGACUGAAAAACUGUCGUCCACAUUUACAGACAUACAUUCUCGUUUCCUGUGGUUAAUAACUUUCUUUAUGAGCUUUGUAGAAGAUUGGCAAGUCGAAUUACAAAAGGUUGAAGCAGUGUUUACUCCGGAGAUCAUUUCCUUUAUUGUAUUUGAAGGUUAACAAACAUUUGAAGAUCAUGAGAUUGAAUGAAAAUCACCUAUGUAUAAUGAUACUGUGGUCAAAACGCAAGAGUGUCGUCUUCACUGAGUUGUAUCUGCAUUGAAGUAGAUUUCAAUAAACAUUAAUUCGAUGGAAAAUAAUGCAGAUAACUCUAAAAAGUGUUUUAAAAUAGAUAAAAUCAUAUUGUUACAAAUAGAACUGAGAAACUUUCAUUUUCUACUGAUUUGGAAAUUUAAUGAAUCUAAUCAGACGAGGUACUUUGUCAAUGAUGCCAUCAUGUGGAAACAUAAGAAACUUGUAAUGUUCGAAAAAGUUCUCAUGUACCAUUGAGUAUAAACCUGUUCUAUUUUAUUGUGAGGCUCACCUCAACCUAUUUUUAAACCUAAAAUUUAUAUGAAUAUAUGUAAAAUUUAGCCUGCCCUCAGGUAAUGAAAUUCAAGCCCGAAAAUUGGUCA
rnacentral:lncRNA from 1 species